rnacentral:rRNA from 1 species
UACGUAGGGUCCGAGCGUUGUCCGGAAUUAUUGGGCGUAAAGGGCUCGUAGGCGGUUUGUCGCGUCGGGAGUGAAAACCUACAGCUUAACUGUGGGCUUGCUUUCGAUACGGGCAGACUUGAGGCAUGCAGGGGAGAACGGAAUUCCUGGUGUAGCGGUGAAGUGCGCAGAUAUCAGGAGGAACACCGGUGGCGAAGGCGGUUCUCUGGGCAUGUUCUGACGCUGAGGAGCGAAAGUGUGGGGAGCGAACAGG